AUCAUUUUUGAUAUUGUUUUUCUACAUGACUAUAACAAUUCAAUUAUAAUCAUCAAACCGCAGAGAUAUUUGAUAGCAUUUAAUUACUACAAAAUUAAAAAAUAUUUAGACAAUGAUUCAUAAACAUAUCAUAAAUAAGAUCAGUGAGUUUUUUUUACGGGACAGAUUGACGGGACGGGUUUGACAGGACGUUACUUAAUAACAAUCGUAAACUAUAAAAUAAAAAUAU
rnacentral:sRNA from 1 species